GAUGAACGCUGGCGGCGUGCCUAAUACAUGCAAGUCGAGCGAACGGACGCGAAGCUUGCUCCUCUGAGGUUUGCGGCGGACGGGUGAGUAACACGUGGAUCACCUACCUCUAAUACUGGGAUAACUUCGGGAAACCGGAGCUUAUACCGGCUAAUAUUUUGAAGCGUAUGGUUCAUAAGUGAAAGACGGUCUUUCUGUCACAUAUAGAUGGAUCCGCGCUGCAUUAGCUAGUUGGUAGGGUCACGGCGUACCAAGGCAACGAUGCGUAGCCGACCUGAGAGGGUGAUCGGCCGCACGGGAACUGAGACACGGUCCAGACUCCUGCGGGAGGCAGCAGUAGGGAAUCUUGGGCAAUGGGCGAAAGCCUGACGGAGCAACGCCGCGUGAGUGAUGAAGGUCUUCGGAUCGUAAAACUCUGUUAUGAGGGAAGAACAUAUGUGUGAGUAGCUGUACACAUCUUGACGGUACCUAAUCAGAAAGCCACGGCUAACUACGUG
rnacentral:rRNA from 1 species